rnacentral:rRNA from 1 species
GACGAACGCUGGCGGCGGGCUUAACACAUGCAAGUCGAACGAACGCCUUCGGGCGUUAGUGGCGCACGGGUGAGUAACACGUAGGCAAUCUACCCUCGGCUGGGGAAUAACCAGGGGAAACCCUGGCUAAUACCGCAUAACAUCUGGACGUCGCCUGGCGACCAGAUCAAAGCUUUAUGUGGCCGAGGAUGAGCCUGCGUCGGAUUAGCUAGUUGGUGGGGAACGGCCUACCAAGGCGACGAUCCGUAGCGGGUCUGAGAGGAUGAUCCGCCACACUGGCACUGAGACACGGGCCAGACUCCUACGGGAGGCAGCAGUGAGGAAUAUUGCGCAAUGGACGAAAGUCUGACGCAGCCACGCCGCGUGCAGGAAGACACCCCUC